rnacentral:tRNA from 1 species
UGCCCCAUGGCUGAGUUGGUUACAGCGUCCGACUGUUAUUCGUAACGGCAUCGGAAGGUCGUGAGUUCGAGCCUCACUGGGGCAG